rnacentral:rRNA from 1 species
AUGGAGCUCACCAACACCCCCCAUCUUGCCUCCUCCAGCUUCUUCUUCUCCAGCUGCAGUCCUUGCGCCUGCAGGAGUAGAAGAACUGGGAAGGCUGUGAUAACAGCGUUUGCUGCUGGUAGUAGGUGCAGUGCUGAUUCUAUUUAUGCAUGCCCAGAGCCCAUUGAACAGCAUAAUGUAGACAGCCUUUCAGUGGCCUCAGGUCCUGCAAAUACCCAAUGUUAUAGAAGGAGAGAUUUUGCUGCUGUUGCUCUGCUCCCUUUUCUACUUCCUCAUGUUGAUAUGGCGAGUGCGGCUGACUCAUAUGAUGGAUCAAUUAUUCAAAACGGUGUGAGGAAUGUCUUAUCCAAGGUGAAAGCAGCUGGCGUGCUUCGUUUGGUUUUCCAUGAUGCAGGGACUUUUGAUAUUAGUGACAAAUCAGGUGGCAUGAAUGGCUCCAUAAUCUAUGAAGCUGACAGACCUGAAAAUGCAGGACUUAGUAAAUCCUUAAAGAUACUACGAAAAGCAAAAGAAGGAAUCAACCAGGUUCAGCAAGUGUCAUGGGCGGACUUGAUUGCAGUGGCUGGUGCUGAAGCAGUUGCACUCUGUGGAGGGCCUGAAAUUCCCAUACGAUUAGGCCGUUUAGAUUCCAGCACUGCUGAUCCUACUGGUAAACUUCCUGAAGAAACAUUGGAUGUGGUGGCCUUGAAAACAUCAUUUGGCAAAAAGGGCUUUUCUGCCCAUCCAUGUCUGCUUGGCAGGACACAGGAGAUGGUCGUUUUGUCUGGAGCUCACACAAUUGGGGGUAAAGGAUUUGGAAAUCCAAAUGCUUUUGAUAACGCCUAUUUCAAAGUACUCCUUGAGAAGCCACGGCCAACUUCAUCUGGCAUGCCGAUAGGGCUGCCCACAGAUUGGGCACUCACUGAAGAUGAUGAAUGCUUAAGGUGGAUCAAUAUCUAUGCAAAGGACCAGGAUAAAUUUUUCGCCGACUUCAGAGAUGCAUAUACCAAGCUUGUAAACAGCGGAGCCUCGUGGAGAACAGCUUAG